rnacentral:tmRNA from 2 species
GGGGGCGUUACGGAUUCGACGACGGUAACGAAACCUGCGGUGCAUGCCGUGAUGGUAGCCAAUCACGUAAAUCCAAAGCUGCAAACUAUUAGUUGCC